rnacentral:misc_RNA from 1 species
UUAACUAUUAUAUAGUACUCAGACGUCACUAAAACAAAAGAGUUUGGGUCCUCUGGCGGGCACGGUCAGCCGGAGCCGACGCCGCGAGGCGGCCCGCCAAAGCAACAAAGAAAGUAUACACGGGUGUUAGUUAUAAACCUGAAGCCGCAUUACUGCAGGCACCGCGAGAGUCAGCCAGCGUCCUUUCAGAGGCCGGAUAACCCCUCCCCCGAACUUGAGGGUGGUUAAACACGUGGUCACGAUCCUAGCCUUUCGACAGGACACAACUAUUAAUGAUCCUUCCGCAGGUUCACCUACGGAAA